rfam:Nematostella vectensis strain CH2 x CH6 NEMVEscaffold_7_Cont1353, whole genome shotgun sequence.
AGCUUUGCGCAGUGGCAUUACCGUAGCUGAUGAGGUUCAUCCGAGGCGCGGUUAUUGCUGAUUGAAAACUUUUCCCAAUACCCCGCGAGACGACUUGAAAUAUAGUCGGCUUUGCAAUUUUUGCAGACCUCUUUAGAGG